rnacentral:rRNA from 1 species
GACGUUAGCGACAGAAAAGACACCGGCUAACUCCGUGCCAGCAGCCGCGGUAAUACGGAGGGUGCGAGCGUUAAUCGGAAUUACUGGGCGUAAAGCGCAUGCAGGUGGUUUGUUAAGUCAGAUGUGAAAGACCCGGGGCGUCAACCUCGGAAUAGCAUUUGAAACUAGGCAGACUAGAGUACUGUAGAGGGGGGUAGGAAUUUCUAGGUGUAGCGGUGAAAUAGCGUAGAGAUCUGAAGGAAUACCGGUGGCGAAGGCGGCCCCCUCGGACAGAUACUGACACUCAGAUGCGAAAGCGUGGGGAGCAAACAGGAUUAGAUACCCUGGUAG